GAUGAACGCUGGCGGCGUGCCUAAUACAUGCAAGUCGAGCGAAUGGAUUGAGAGCUUGCUCUUAUGAAGUUAGCGGCGGACAGGUGAGUAACACGUGGGUAACCUGCCCAUAAGACUGGGAUAACUCCGGGAAACCGGGGCUAAUACCGGAUAACAUUUUGAACCGCAUGGUUCGAAAUUGAAAGGCGGCUUCGGCUGUCACUUAUGGAUGGACCCGCGUCGCAUUAGCUAGUUGGUGAGGUAACGGCUCACCAAGGCAACGAUGCGUAGCCGACCUGAGAGGGUGAUCGGCCACACUGGGACUGAGACACGGCCCAGACUCCUACGGGAGGCAGCAGUAGGGAAUCUUCCGCAAUGGACGAAAGUCUGACGGAGCAACGCCGCGUGAGUGAUGAAGGCUUUCGGGUCGUAAAACUCUGUUGUUAGGGAAGAACAAGUGCUAGUUGAAUAAGCUGGCACCUUGACGGUACCUAACCAGAAAGCCACGGCUAACUACGUGCCAGCCGCCGCCGUAA
rnacentral:rRNA from 1 species